UAAAUUACAAGCCAUGGAGGUGGAGGAGUAGUAAAGCAUGUGAUAGAGCUCUAGAGUAUAAAAUAGGUGAAAAAAUCCAUGGAUUCACUAUAAAUCAGGUAACACCUCUCCCUGAGCUAUUCUUAACUGCUGUGAAACUCAAUCAUGACAGCACAGGUGCUCAAUAUUUACAUGUGGCAAGAGAAGAUACAAAUAAUUUAUUUAGUGUCCAGUUCCGUACUACCCCAAUGGAUAGUACUGGUGUUCCACAUAUUCUUGAACAUACUGUACUUUGUGGUUCUAUGAAGUAUCCCUGCAGAGAUCCUUUUUUCAAAAUGCUAAACAGAUCAUUAGCCACUUUUAUGAAUGCAUUUACAGCUAGUGAUUACACAUUAUAUCCAUUUUCAACACAAAAUUCCAAGGAUUUUCAGAAUCUUCUCUCAGUAUAUUUGGAUGCAGUCUUCUUUCCAUGUUUGAGGGAAUUGGACUUCUGGCAAGAAGGUUGGAGACUAGAACAUGAAAAUCCAACUGACCCCCAGUCACCCCUGGUCUUUAAAGGAGUCGUUUUUAAUGAAAUGAAAGGAGCAUUUACAGACAAUGAGAGGAUAUUCUCGCAGUAUCUUCAAAACCGACUCCUUCCUGAUCAUACUUACUCAGUUAUAUCUGGUGGUGAUCCACUAAACAUCCCUGAUCUUUCAUGGGAACAACUUAAACAAUUCCAUGCUACUCAUUACCAUCCAAGUAAUGCUAGAUUCUUUACUUAUGGCAAUCUUCCAUUGGAACAGCAUUUGAAGCAAAUUCAUGAAGAAGCACUAAGUAAAUUUCAGAGAAUUGAGCCUAGUACUUCAGUGCCAGCCCAGAAGCUUUGGGAUACACCUAGAGAAUACCAUGUGACAUGUGGUCCAGAUACAUUUGCAACAGACUCAACUAAACAAACAACCAUCAGUGUCAGUUUCCUUUUGCCAGAUAUUACAGAUACAUUUGAAGCCUUUACUCUGAAUCUUUUGUCUUCACUACUCAUUGGUGGACCUAAUUCUCCAUUUUAUAAAGCCUUAAUUGAAUCGGGUCUUGGCACAGAUUUUUCUCCUGAAGUUGGAUAUAAUGGCUAUACGAGAGAAGCAUACUUCAGUGUGGGCCUGCAGGGGAUUGAUGAUAAACAUAUAGAAACGGUCAAACACAUUAUUACUAGAACAAUUGAUGAAGUUAUUGAGAAAGGAUUUGAAGAUGAUCGAGUUGAAGCCUUAUUACAUAAAAUUGAAAUACAAAUGAAGCACCAGUCUACCAGUUUUGGACUUGCUCUAACAUCAUAUAUAGCUUCCUGCUGGAAUCAUGAAGGAGAUCCAACUGAACUUUUAAAUCUAGGAAAACAAGUGACUCAAUUCAGGAAGUGCCUUACAGAAAAUCCAAAUUUUCUGCAAGAAAAAGUUAAGCAAUAUUUUAAGAAUAACCAACACAGGUUGACUUUAUCUAUGAGUCCAGAUGAAAAGUAUUAUGAGAAGCAAGCACAAAUGGAAACUGAAAAACUGAAACAAAAAGUUGAUUCUCUUACUAUGAAAGACAGGCAACACAUAUAUGAAAAAGGUUUAGAGUUACGGACUUUGCAAAGUAAACCACAAGAUGCUUCCUGUCUACCAGCAUUAAAAGUGUCUGACAUUGAGCGUACUAUAUCCUUUACUGAGGUGGAUACAGCAUUGGCAGCUGGUGAAAUCCCUGUCCAGUAUUGUGCUCAGCCAACCAACGGCGUGGUCUAUUUCAGAGCCUUUUCUAGUCUGAACACACUUCCUGAGGAACUCCGGCCAUAUGUGCCUCUCUUCUGCAGUGUGCUCACCAAGAUGGGUUGUGGCACUUAUGACUACAGAGAACAAGCUCAGCAAAUAGAACUAAAAACAGGAGGAAUGUCAGUCUCUCCACAUGUAAUUCCAGAUGAUUCACAUUUGGAUAUGUAUGAACAGGGUGUGCUUUUUUCAUCUUUAUGCUUGGAUCGAAAUCUAUCAGACAUGAUGCAUUUAUGGAGUGAAAUAUUUAACAACCCUCACUUUGAAGACGAGGAGCACUUUAAGGUGUUAGUUAAAAUGACUGCUCAGGAACUUUCAAAUGGAAUUCCUGAUUCUGGUCAUUUAUAUGCAUCUAUUAGAGCUAGUAGAACACUUACUCCUGCCGGAGACUUACAAGAAACCUUUAAUGGCAUGGAUCAGGUAAGACUAAUGAAGCGAAUUGCAGAAAUGUCAGACAUUAAGCCAAUCCUGAGAAAACUUCCACGUAUCAAGAAACAUUUAUUAAAUUGUGAUAAUAUGAGAUGUUCAGUGAAUGCUGCCCCUCAGCAGAUGUCUCAAGCAGGAAAAGAAAUUGAAAAUUUCAUAAAAAGCCUUGGUCGAAGUAAAAAGGAAAGAAAAUCUGUCCGUCCCCAUGUAAUUGAGAAACCUGAUUCCAAACCAGUUGGUGGUGAUUUCAUCAACUGUCCCCAAAUUAUAAGAAAGCUAAUUACUGACCCUACUUUCAAACCAUGUCAGAUGAAGACUCAUUUCCUACUUCCUUUCCCUGUGAAUUAUGUAGGUGAAUGUGUUAGGACUGUUCCUUACACAGAUCCAGAUCAUGCCAGUCUUAGGAUCCUUGCACGAUUGAUGACUGCUAAGUUCUUGCAUACAGAAAUUAGAGAGAAAGGUGGUGCAUAUGGUGGAGGUGCUAAACUCAGCAGUAAUGGGAUAUUCACCUUUUACUCCUAUAGGGAUCCAAAUUCAAUAGAAACUCUCCAGUGUUUUGAAAAAGCAGUCAAUUGGGCCAAAUCUGGAAGCUUCACAUUAGAAGAUAUUGAUGAAGCAAAGCUUUCAGUUUUUUCAGUUGCAGAUGCUCCAGUUGCACCUUCAGACAAAGGAAUGGACCAGUUUUUAUAUGGGCUUUCAGAUGAGAUGAAGCAGGCACACAGAGAACAACUCUUUGCUGUUAGUCAUGAACAACUUGUUAAUGUUAGCAAUAAGUACCUUGGAAUUGGACAGAGCACACGAGGAUUAGCAAUACUUGGACCAGAUAAUGUGAAUAUUGAUAAAGACCCAUCAUGGACUCCUGAAGCAUAAAUAGCCUGAUUAUCAGAGAAAAAGUACUAAUUCGAGCUUUAGUUUCUGAGUUGGGUGAAGUAAAUUAUCAAUACCAAACAAUAGACCUAUCAGCAUCACUGCAAAAGAGGCCAAGAAGAAUGGAAUGAAAUUGGCUCAGCCCCAGACAUUCAGACAUACAGCCAUGCAAAAAGUUAGCCACGUUUCCAACUCCAUCAUGUCAAAAUGUAAGUGAUUUAAAACAUUAUAAUGCAAAAUGAUUAUUUUUAUUACACCAAGUUUAAGUUUUUGCAUAAAACCAAUGCUGCCAAGAUUAGAAAGAAUGCAGAAAAUGAGAGGAGGGCAUUUUAUAGAAGUUCCUUUCAGAAAAAUCUCAUUUCUCAAAUAUAUAAAGAACUGAUUUAAAUUUAGAAGUAUAUACCACAGACUUAUUAGAUUGGCUAAUAUAACAGAAAAGGAAAAUGACAAAUAUUGGAGGGGAUAUGG